UACGAAGGGGGCGAGCGUUGUUCGGAUUUACUGGGCGUAAAGCGUGCGCAGGCGGUCUGUUAAGACCGAUGUGAAAUCCCCGGGCUUAACCUGGGAACUGCAUUGGUGACUGGCAGGCUUUGAGUGUGGCAGAGGGAGGUAGAAUUCCACGUGUAGCAGUGAAAUGCGUAGAGAUGUGGAGGAAUACCGAUGGCGAAGGCAGCCUCCUGGGCCAACACUGACGCUCAUGCACGAAAGCGUGGGGAGCAAACAGG
rnacentral:rRNA from 1 species